rnacentral:rRNA from 1 species
UAAGGAAUAUUGGUCAAUGGACGCAAGUCUGAACCAGCCAUGCCGCGUGAAGGAUGAAGGUCCUCUGGAUUGUAAACUUCUUUUAUCUGGGACGAAAACGGGAUUUUUAUCUCAAUUGACGGUACCAGAGGAAUAAGCACCGGCUAACUCCGUGCCAGCGGCCGCGGUAAUACGGAGGGUGCGAGCGUUAUCCGGAUUUACUGGGUUUAAAGGGUGCGUAGGUGGGCUUAUAAGUCAGUGGUGAAAUCUCCGAGCUUAACUUGGAAACUGCCGUUGAUACUAUAGGUCUUGAAUUAUCUGGAGGUAAGCGGAAUAUGUCAUGUAGCGGUGAAAUGCUUAGAUAUGACAUAGAACACCAAUUGCGAAGGCAGCUUACUACAUAUAAAUUGACGCUGAGGCACGAAAGCGUGGGGAUCAAACA